GACGAACGCUGGCGGCGCGCCUAACACAUGCAAGUCGAACGAGCGAGAGAGAGCUUGCUUUCUCGAGCGAGUGGCGAACGGGUGAGUAACGCGUGAGGAACCUGCCUCAAAGAGGGGGGACAACAGUUGGAAACGACUGCUAAUACCGCAUAAGCCCACGGCUCGGCAUCGAGCAGAGGGAAAAGGAGUAAUCCGCUUUGAGAUGGCCUCGCGUCCGAUUAGCUAGUUGGUGAGGUAACGGCCCACCAAGGCGACGAUCGGUAGCCGGACUGAGAGGUUGAACGGCCACAUUGGGACUGAGACACGGCCCAGACUCCUACGGGAGGCAGCAGUGGGGAAUAUUGCACAAUGGGGGAAACCCUGAUGCAGCGACGCCGCGUGGAGGAAGAAGGUCUUCGGAUUGUAAACUCCUGUUGUUGGGGAAGAUAAUGACGGUACCCAACAAGGAAGUGACGGCUA
rnacentral:rRNA from 1 species